UUACAUUGAACUCAGAAAGGAAGUGAAUUACAUAUUUGAAUGGCUGCAAUUUGGUGGUGCACCUGUUGUGAGUUCCAGUGAUAGGAUUUGAUAGUGAAAAGCUGUCACUUGAAAAUCAAGUAUUGUGAUUUUGUGUGUAUCUUGCCAUUUUAACAGUAGCAGAACCUGAAAGAUUUUGAUCAAAGUCAAGACCAAGAUACUUGAUUGAUGACUUCGCAUUUAUACUUUUGUCAUCACAGAUGGUCUCAAGUGAAUUGAAGAACAAUGUUGCUUAUAUGGCUUGCAACAUACACCAAUUAAUAUAGGCUUUAUUCGGGAAUUAAUUGUAAAUCCACAAAGACUCGAGUUCAUCACUAUGAAGAUCAUCUCUCCUGAUGUAGAUUAAUUGAGCCAUGUUUCCCUGAUUGCGACUACGAAAGAUUUAUUUUUCAUUGCAACAGCACGAAUUUCCUCAAUUUUUGGGAGAAGACACCCUCCUAAAGAUCCCGAUGUUAAAACAUCGGGAUCUUUAGGAGGGUGAGUGGUUGUGACCAGUUCAGGUAUGACGUUUGCAUAUUCCCAAUCAGAAUGAACACAGCCGGUGGUAAUAGAUACAUAAUAUUACAAUAUGGGUCAGUGGUUGGAUAAUAGCCAUCGGUCCAUAUUUUGAGGAAUUUUGCAGAUUUACUGUAUCGAGCCAUGAUUCGCUGAUUGCGAUACGGAGGAUUUAGUUUUAAUUGCAAUAGCACGAAUUUCCUCUAUUGUUGGGAGAAGAAGUGCAAGCAGUGCAGCCCUUCCAUCUAAAGCAAAGAGGCCGCCGUGAAGUUAGGCUUGAUGUGUGGUGUUUCGCGGAGUGACGUCACGAGUGUACUGGCGGGUGAUUUAAAGUUGCUGAACACUCAAACCGCUAUGUCGUUGGGCUUACUUGGGUCGAGGCUAAAAAAUCCAGUAUAAACAGCAUCGUCGGUGAAAAUAAAACUGAACAAGAGGACAGACAAAUCUCUUCUGCAAGACAAUGUAUCAAAGAAUCAAUGGCACUAUGCAGCAACAGAUCAUGACCAAUGUUGCAAGACAAGUACACUGAAAUUCAGUUGGAAGAGUACGAAAGAGUAAUCUGUUGAAAGAACACAAACAAUUAUUGUAUCUUUAAUAACAAGUUACUUGACCAAGACAACUUUCAUCAUUCUGAAAUAUUGAUCAUUAUUAUUAGGAAGAGGAACCAGAACUACUAAAAUUCAUUUUCUAAUAUAGGCUGUGUAAAGCAUUUUAACUUUUAGUUAAUUUAAUUUGAUUGAUUAUGCUAAAUAUUUUGCAAAACAAUGAAGAGAAGAUAUACUGGAGUUUAUUUCAACAUCUUGCUGAAUAUUGAGACACUUUAAUCACGGUGAAAGAAAACACAGAACGAUUGUAUUUUUAUCGGAAUAUCGAAGGAAUUUAUCAAAUUAGUAUUAAUGACAAGUUAUCGCAGUAUCAACAGCUUGCAUCAUUGGAAAAUAUUGAACAAGAGAAACAUAAUUAUGUAUAAUUAUAUAAAUUCAUAGUAUAUUAUGAUUUUGGUUUUAUAUUAAAAAAUAUAAGUAAUGUGUUGAUGUGUUUCUUUGCUGGUCGUGUCUGAAGACUGGAUACGCAGUAUUGAUGUUUCUUUGCUGGUCAUGUCUGAAGACUAGAUAAGCAGGUAAGACAAAGAAGCGCCCUCUAAAAGAAAAAGGACUAGGUUUUCCAUUUUCCCUCAAUUUUUAUUAAAGUGGUGCUGAAGAGUGCCCUCUAAUAGAAAAACAAAAUUUCCAGGGUCUCUAAAUUUUUGUUUAAAGGGGUUCCCUGUGGUGCUGGAAAGCGCCCUCUCUAGCCAUUUUAUUUCUACGUUUUUCAGGGUCUCUUUAAUUGUCAAUUU